CUCCCCCUACGGGAGGCAGCAGUGAGGAAUAUUGGUCAAUGGGCGGAAGCCUGAACCAGCCAAGUCGCGUGAAGGAAUAAGGCCCUACGGGUCGUAAACCUCUUUUGCCGGGGAGCAAGGGCCGGGACGAGUCCCGGUCCGGAGAGUACCCGGAGAAAAAGCAUCGGCUAACUCCGUGCCAGCAGCCGCGGUAAUACGGAGGAUGCGAGCGUUAUCCGGAUUUAUUGGGUUUAAAGGGUGCGUAGGCGGGCUUUUAAGUCGGCG
rnacentral:rRNA from 1 species